rnacentral:rRNA from 1 species
UCUAAGUUUGAUGGCGACCGGCGCACGGGUGAGUAACACGUAUCCAACCUGCCGAUAACUCGGGGAUAGCCUUUCGAAAGAAAGAUUAAUACCCGAUGGCAUAAUAGAACCGCAUGGUUUGAUUAUUAAAGAAUUUCGGUUAUCGAUGGGGAUGCGUUCCAUUAGGCAGUUGGUGGGGUAACGGCCCACCAAACCUUCGAUGGAUAGGGGUUCUGAGAGGAAGGUCCCCCACAUUGGAACUGAGACACGGCCCAGACUCCUACGGGAGGCAGCAUG